UACAGAGGGUGCGAGCGUUAAAUCGGAAUUACUGGGCGUAAAGCGCACGUAGGCGGCUUGGUAUGUCGGGUGUGAAAUCCCCGGGCUCAACCUGGGAACUGCAUCCGAAACUGCCUUGCUCGAGUAUGGGAGAGGGAAGUGGAAUUUCCGGUGUAGCGGUGAAAUGCGUAGAUAUCGGAAGGAACAUCAGUGGCGAAGGCGGCGACCUGGGUAGAUACUGACGC
rnacentral:rRNA from 1 species